UACGUAGGGUGCGAGCGUUGUCCGGAAUUAUUGGGCGUAAAGGGCUCGUAGGCGGUUUGUCGCGUCGGGAGUGAAAACACCGGGCUUAACUCGGUGCUUGCUUUCGAUACGGGCAGACUAGUGGCAUGCAGGGGAGAACGGAAUUCCUGGUGUAGCGGUGAAAUGCGCAGAUAUCAGGAGGAACACCGGUGGCGAAGGCGGUUCUCUGGGCAUGUCCUGACGCUGAGGAGCGAAAGUGUGGGGAGCGAACAGG
rnacentral:rRNA from 1 species